UGAGUAACACGUGAGUAACCUGCCCUUGACUCUGGGAUAAGCCUGGGAAACUGGGUCUAAUACCGGAUACGACCGCUCCACGCAUGUGGUGGUGGUGGAAAGCUUUUGCGGUUUUGGAUGGACUCGCGGCCUAUCAGCUUGUUGGUGGGGUAAUGGCCUACCAAGGCGACGACGGGUAGCCGGCCUGAGAGGGUGACCGGCCACACUGGGACUGAGACACGGCCCAGACUCCUACGGGAGGCAGCAGUGGGGAAUAUUGCACAAUGGGCGCAAGCCUGAUGCAGCGACGCCGCGUGAGGGAUGACGGCCUUCGGGUUGUAAACCUCUUUCAGUAGGGAAGAAGCGAAAGUGACGGUACCUGCAGAAGAAGCGCCGGCUAACUACGUGCCAGCAGCCGCGGUAAUACGUAGGGCGCAAGCGUUAUCCGGAAUUAUUGGGCGUAAAGAGCUCG
rnacentral:rRNA from 1 species